CCUACGGGAGGCAGCAGUGGGGAAUAUUGCACAAUGGGGGAAACCCUGAUGCAGCGACGCCGCGUGAGUGAAGAAGUACGUCGUUACGUAAAGCUCUAUCAGAAGGGAAGAAAAUGACGGUACCUGAGAAAGAAGCCCCGGCUAACUAAGUGACAGCAGCAGCGGUAAUAAGUGGGGGGCAAGGGUUAUACGGAGUUAAUGGGGGUAAAGGGAGCGUAGACGGUGCGCCAAGUCUGGAGUGAAAGGCCGCAGCGUAACUGCGGAACUGCUUUGGAAACUGGCGAACUAGAGUGCGGGAGGGGUAAGCGGAAUUCCUAGUGUAGCGGUGAAAUGCGUAGAUAUUAGGAGGAACACCGGUGGCGAAGGCGGCUUACUGGACCGUAACUGACGUUGAGGCUCGAAAGCGUGGGGAGCAAACAGGAUUAGAUACCCCGGUAGUC
rnacentral:rRNA from 1 species